rnacentral:rRNA from 1 species
UGCAGUCGAGCGGUAGCACAGAGAGCUUGCUCUCGGGUGACGAGCGGCGGACGGGUGAGUAAUGUCUGGGAAACUGCCUGAUGGAGGGGGAUAACUACUGGAAACGGUAGCUAAUACCGCAUAACGUCGCAAGACCAAAGUGGGGGACCUUCGGGCCUCAUGCCAUCAGAUGUGCCCAGAUGGGAUUAGCUAGUAGGUGGGGUAACGGCUCACCUAGGCGACGAUCCCUAGCUGGUCUGAGAGGAUGACCAGCCACACUGGAACUGAGACACGGUCCAGACUCCUACGGGAGGCAGCAGUGGGGAAUAUUGCACAAUGGGCGCAAGCCUGAUGCAGCCAUGCCGCGUGUGUGAAGAAGGCCUUCGGGUUGUAAAGCACUUUCAGCGGGGAGGAAGGCGAUAAGGUUAAUAACCUUGUCGAUUGACGUUACCCGCAGAAGAAGCACCGGCUAACUCCGUGCCAGCAGCCGCGGUAAUACGGAGGGUGCAAGCGUUAAUCGGAAUUACUGGGCGUAAAGCGCACGCAGGCGGUCUGUCAAGUCGGAUGUGAAAUCCCCGGGCUCAACCUGGGAACUGCAUUCGAAACUGGCAGGCUAGAGUCUUGUAGAGGGGGGUAGAAUUCCAGGUGUAGCGGUGAAAUGCGUAGAGAUCUGGAGGAAUACCGGUGGCGAAGGCGGCCCCCUGGACAAAGACUGACGCUCAGGUGCGAAAGCGUGGGGAGCAAACAGGAUUAGAUACCCUGGUAGUCCACGCCGUAAACGAUGUCGAUUUGGAAGUUGUGCCCUUGAGGCGUGGCUUCCGGAGCUAACGCGUUAAAUCGACCGCCUGGGGAGUACGGCCGCAAGGUUAAAACUCAAAUGAAUUGACGGGGGCCCGCACAAGCGGUGGAGCAUGUGGUUUAAUUCGAUGCAACGCGAAGAACCUUACCUGGUCUUGACAUCCACAGAACUUUCCAGAGAUGGAUUGGUGCCUUCGGGAACUGUGUGACAGGUGCUGCAUGGCUGUCGUCAGCUCGUGUUGUGAAAUGUUGGGUUAAGUCCCGCAACGAGCGCAACCCUUAUCCUUUGUUGCCAGCGGUUCAGGCCGGGAACUCAAAGGAAACUGCCAUUGAUAACUUGGAGAAA